GAUGAAGAACGUAGUGAAAUGCGAUAAGUAAUGUGAAUUGCAGAAUUCAGUGAAUCAUCGAAUCUUUGAACGCACAUUGCGCCCAUUAGUAUUCUUGUGGGCAUGCCUGUUCGAGCGUCAUUAAGUCCACUUAAGCCCUGCUUAGUGUUGGGAGACUGCUCCAGCGGUGCUACCCUGUAGCUACCCUGCAGCUCCUCAAAGACAGCGGCGGAGUUGUGGUAUCCUCUGAGCUUAGUAACUUGUUCUAGCUUUCGAGUACACCACUUCCCCUGCCGUAAAACCCUUAAUUUUUAAUGGUUGACCUCGGAUCAGGUAGGAAUACCCGCUGAACUUAAGCAUAUCAAUAAGCGGAGGA
rnacentral:misc_RNA from 1 species